rnacentral:misc_RNA from 1 species
GAAUGAACAUGAAUAACUAGCAUGGAUAAAUAGAUUCGCAAUCAGUGACAUAACGAUAUUUAUGAGCCGUCUAGUUUCACAGAUAAUUCCACCUGGUGGUGCGGAUAAAAGUAGGAUAGAAAAUAACAGAACCAAAACGUUGAAAAACGCAUUGCUUGGCUUAAAGGUCAUAACAUUAUUCUAUUCAAUGGAAAAAAAUGUUUGGUAGUUGAACGAGAUUGCUUCUCAACGCAAUGUUUUAUUUUCACUACGAAAUGUUCUCAUGCUUCUAAUCUAUGACUUCUACUUUACAUGCUGUUGAUUCAGGUGGUGUUUUUGUACCAAAGUGGGGGGUCUAAGUCGUUAGUACUAUUGUCCUUCUUCUGGUUAGUACUGACAGUUUGUAUUACAUUUUAAGUGGGAUCGUAGUAACUAAAUGGGGGUACAUAAAACUGGUACUACUAAACAGAUUUAUCUAAGUUGUGAACAAAUUUCAAUAAACAAACGAAUGUAUAAUCUCAUCGGCAAGAAAAUAAUUUUUUACGUCAAUCACUUAUUUCACUUCUUUAUUUUAUUUUGAAUAUAUCAAAUGUAA